rnacentral:lncRNA from 1 species
UUGGCUUUGGACUUAGGAUCCUGACCGUAAACCCGGAUUAUCGGUCUGCACCCCUUCAAACCCUCAAAAUGCGGAAGAUCUCUGAGAAUCAAGCAAUCCAAAAGAAGAGGAGUAUCCGAAGGAGGCCAAUCAGAUGUCAGGUUUCUUCUAGAAAUGUACUGAAGGUAUCUGAGCUGAGAAGGCUGAGGGUUAAGAGGAGAGAGUAUAUGAAGAAGCUCCUUGGGAGCUUGCUUGUGCACCAUCUCGAGCGUCUUCUGCUCGCCCUGAUACUGCUUUCUAUACAAUAACAGCCCUGAUAACAUGAAUGCGAGAACAGGCCAGCCGCCUUUCUCGCAGUGCAUCACUGAGUUUCUUGCUGCUUAGACUUUGGCUUCACUGAAUCUCCAGCCGGUUUUGCAUUUGCUCCGACCACUUUCCUCGGCGCAGCUUUUGUUUUGUCUGAUACAGAGAUGUUGAGAUUAGUAUUUGCUUUCUGAGUUGUAGACUCCAAAUCAUUCCCUUCUCCAUCACCAUUCUCCUUUGCUUCCACUGUCCUCUUUCUCUGCUCAUCACUAUCAUCUACCCCUAUAUCCUUCACUGAGUCAAUAGCCUUCCCAUCUGACCUAUACUGUACAUCAUCAACAGUUAUAUCUUUAACCGGAUCUGCGCUAGCCUCAUGUUUAUGAUUCGAAUCAUCAGAUGCGCAAUCAAGAAACGCAUUGGGCUCCACGUCCCCCUUCCACACCUCUUUACCCUCGGAAUCAUCUGAAGCACUAUCAACAACCACAAAACUAUCUGAGUCCUCUCUCUUCAAGUCAUGCCCAUCAAUCGCAUCGCUAAAAAUCUCCUCCACCUCAUAAAACUCCUCAGGCGAAGCCAUAUCAAAAUCGUUCUCAUCCUCAUCAUCUGAUACUGGGGCUGUUGCAAUAGCAGGCACCACGGUAUCAGCACCAGAGAAAAGCACCUGAGUAUGCAUUUCAAACUUUAACAGCCUCAUUUAAACAAAUAAUCAAAUAAAAUUUUCACACAAUGGCGGCAGGCGCUUACCUCUGCCUUGAACUCCUUUGGGAACAGGUCCUUGGCAUCCCAAAGUAUAUCCAUCUCAUCUCGUUCCACAAUUAAAAUAUUACCACGUACAAAUGCUGUGUGGAACAUGAUUCUAAAGACCAUCUCCUCACGCACCAAAUCGUCAUGCAAGUGUAUACAUUCCAGAACAACAUCCCCUUGAACACGGCACUGGAUGUCUAGUUUCACCAGGAUACACUCUUCCUGCAUGAUAAGAUCAAGCUAAUGAACAUUGUCUAGAGAGAAGCGUGUAGCUGCUAAUAAUAAAACCACACAAAAGAACUCAUAUACUAAACAAUGUCUUAUACAUAAAUAAAUGUGAUGAUCAUAUUCAUAUGCCUCCUCUGUUUCAAUCUAUUUGAUGUUUAAAGAUUUUUUUUUUUUUGUAGUAAACUAAGUGAUGUUCUCACUAUUCAGGAUUUGUGACCAAUUACAUAAUACUACUUUUUUUCUCUUUUUGGUUGAAUUACUUUUAUUUAAUGAUUUAUUACCUAUCCAAGAUAAAUUUUAUCAUUUCCUUAAUCUUUGUGCAUUAACCUUAAACACCUAGUAAAACGAAACAAGAGUGUGUGACAGAUACAAUGGUUUGAAAAAGUACCUGUUGGUAGAGACGAGUGUGUUUAUUCGUCUUUGGUGUGGAGAACAGAACCACAGAGCUCCUGUUGGCUUUGGACUUAGGAUCCUGACCGUAAACCCGGAUUAUCGGUCUGCACCCCUUCAAACCCUCAAAAUGCGGAAGAUCUCUGAGAAUCAAGCAAUCCAAAAGAAGAGGAGUAUCCGAAGGAGGCCAAUCAGAUGUCAGGUUUCUUCUAGAAAUGUACUGAAGGUAUCUGAGCUGAGAAGGCUGAGGGUUAAGAGGAGAGAGUAUAUGAAGAAGCUCCUUGGGAGCUUGCUUGUGCACCAUCUCGAGCGUCUUCUGCUCGCCCUGAUACUGCUUUCUAUACAAUAACAGCCCUGAUAACAUGAAUGCG